UACGUAGGGGGCAAGCGUUGUCCGGAUUUAUUGGGCGUAAAGAGCGUGUAGGCGGCCUGAAAGGUCAGCUGUGAAAACUCGAGGCUCAACCUCGAGACGUCGGUUGAAACCAUCUGGCUAGAGUCCGGAAGAGGAGUGUGGAAUUCCCGGUGUAGCGGUGAAAUGCGCAGAUAUCGGGAGGAACACCGGUGGUGUAGACGGCUCUCUGGACCGUAACUGACGCUGAGACACGAAAGCGUGGGUAGCAAACAGG
rnacentral:rRNA from 1 species